rnacentral:sRNA from 1 species
CGGCCCUGGGAGGAAAUUUGGUGGUGGUGGAAGUGGAGGGCCCACGAGGCGCAUUGGGCGAGUUGAUGAUAUUCGCGGCCCGGAGUGUGGGAGCGGGGGCUGCAGCAGAUAGGUGACGAUAUAUAAUGCCGAUCUCUUUAUGGUUAUUACGAUGAGCGGGGAAACAGGUUAUCGACAUGCAGUUGUUUUCAACUUUUAUUAUGUAUCAUGCUACACUUUUGCUUCCUUUGAUUCUUGAUAUGCGAUUGUGCUGCGUGGAUUGGAAUCCAUUUUUCAUAUCAGGAUUCCCUGCUUCGGGACAUUGUCAUAUCGGUUAUGUUCUAGUUACUUUAUAUCACGUACAUAUUUAUUGUUAUUCGUCGUGGAUGGAUCCCGCUCUCGCUUCCAAUGCAUAUUUUUGCCUC